rnacentral:rRNA from 1 species
GAUGAACGCUGGCGGCGUGCCUAAUACAUGCAAGUCGAGCGAACAGACGAGGAGCUUGCUCCUCUGACGUUAGCGGCGGACGGGUGAGUAACACGUGGAUAACCUACCUAUAAGACUGGGAUAACUUCGGGAAACCGGAGCUAAUACCGGAUAAUAUAUUGAACCGCAUGGUUCAAUAGUGAAAGACGGUUUUGCUGUCACUUAUAGAUGGAUCCGCGCCGCAUUAGCUAGUUGGUAAGGUAACGGCUUACCAAGGCAACGAUGCGUAGACGACCUGAGAGGGUGAUCGGCCACACUGGAACUGAGACACGGUCCAGACUCCUACGGGAGGCAGCAGUAGGGAAUCUGCCGCAAUGGGCGAAAGCCUGACGGAGCAACGCCGCGUGAGUGAUGAAGGUCUUCGGAUCGUAAAACUCUGUUAUUAGGGAAGAACAAAUGUGUAAGUAACUAUGCACGUCUUGACGGUACCUAAUCAGAAAGCCACGGCUAACUACGUG